UGGGGAAUUUUGGACAAUGGACGCAAGUCUGAUCCAGCAAUGCCGCGUGCAGGACGAAGGCCUUCGGGUUGUAAACUGCUUUUGUACAGAACGAAAAGGCUCUGGUUAAUACCUGGGGCUCAUGACGGUACUGUAAGAAUAAGCACCGGCUAACUACGUGCCAGCAGCCGCGGUAAUACGUAGGGUGCGAGCGUUAAUCGGAAUUACUGGGCGUAAAGCGUGCGCAGGCGGUUUUGUAAGACCGAUGUGAAAUCCCCGGGCUCAACCUGGGAACUGCAUUGGUGACUGCAAGGCUGGAGUGCGGCAGAGGGGGAUGGAAUUCCGCGUGUAGCAGUGAAAUGCGUAGAUAUGCGGAGGAACACCGAUGGCGAAGGCAAUCCCCUGGGCCUGCACUGACGCU
rnacentral:rRNA from 1 species